ACGCUGUUCGCUCCAGGAGUACCCUGGAAUGGCACCGGUCACUUCAACCGCUCCCUUCCCUCCUGUGAGAACAUAGGAUCAGUUACCGAUGGCGCCUCUCCCACUCACUGACAAUAUUCCAUAGGGACACGCCACACACUAUCCAACACGUCCAGGAAGCUACAACGAUCCUGCAGUGCUUGGGACUCCCCCAGGACUUCCUUGGUCAGGAUCACCUGGAAGCAGCAUCUCUGGUGAAAGUCAAUUAAUUCACGCCCAGACCAUCUACAUCGGAGGUUUAUGCCAUAGUCACAACAUGAACGCUCCAUGGAUAAUAAAACUUAGUUCAGUUAGGGACUCUUCCAGCCUAGGAAGUUAGCCCCCACUACCCAACCACACGACCCUUCAGACCAUCUGGUUCCAUACCAGCUUGCUUACCGUUUACUGACCACAUAUCCCCCCCCAUGCCUAGGGGUUACACAGGUGCAGAAUGUGCAUACACUGCAUGUAGAAAAGGGCAGAGGAGAAUCCUCUUCAUAGACCUAGCUCACAUUCCACAAACCGUUUCAGUCUCUCCGUUAUGAUUUCCCUUCAUUUUUAAUGUUAUCCUUCUGUUUAACACCUUUCCAGUAAAACGUGGUUUUAUUAUCUAGGAACAAGCUAUAUAUGAGCAAAGCCACUAUACUAAGCUAGCAUUUAAAUACUAAAUUCACAGUACGAC